GUCAACCACCAUUUCGGCCACCGCUACUAUGGAGUCCAAUAAGAUCGUCGGGUCCCUGAAGAUUGGCAGGCUGGAGCUGUCCUUGAAGCACUCAGACGUGGGGCCGUUCUCGGUGCAAUUGAUGCAGGCCGUCAUGAACUACUUUGCUGCCAACGUCUUGGUCCCUCAAAUUAAUGGUAAGGACUG